CCUCCAUCUUCCUCUCGUUUCAACAACGCCCCAUCUCAAUUCUCUUCAUCAACACCAACUGAAAAGAGGAGAUUUAUCAACAAAAUCCAUCAAUAACAUCAGCUCUUCUCUAUUAUCUUCAUCAAGACCAACUGAAAACGAAGAUUCAUCGACAACAUCAAUUUUUGAAGUCUGAAUCGAUGAAGAAUAGACUAUUAGGAUCAUCAACAAUAAUCAAGAGUAAUUCUAUGUUGUCUAAAGCAAUUGGUGAUUGCAAAAAAACUUAGAUUACGUCUCUUCUUUGGUAUGUUAAUGGCUGCACCAUCGGUGAAUCCCUAAAAUUAACAUUUUUGGGAGCUUCAGGUGAAGCAAAUAAUCAUGAAAAUGAUGGUACGAGUUAUUCUCAGAAGGGAACAGAAAGCACAUGUGACUUUUGGUGAAUGAUUAGCAAUUGCUUUUGCUUAGUAGUAAAUGACAUGGUUUCUAUGAAGCUAUUCAUAAUAUAUUGUGGGUUUCAAGUCAGGUGGAGAUAAGCUCCAAUGUUGUUGCUCUAGGUACUUGGAGAGCUUAAAACUCUGUCGACACUUUAUGAAAUCUUUGAUUCCUGGUAAUUGCUACUGGAGGUGAAAUGGUAAGCGUCUUGUGAAAGAAUGCAAGGAGCUUGUGGAGUUAUAUACAGGAAGUUUGUAUUCCUUGUUUUCUCUCGCUUCUUAUGGAUUAAUUCUGAAUAAUUUUGAUAUCAGGCAGUGCACCAGGCUUAUGAUGUGGUCGUGCAGAAAAAGCGUAUUGAGAAAAAUCUUCUGACUGAUAACUUUAUUGUAAUGGAUCGAUUGGUGAUGGAGCAUAAUCUUCUGAGUGCAAGCAAGCUUUAUACAGAUAUAAGCUCAUGAGAUCAGAAGUAAGAUGGAUUCUCUAAGGGAAAAUGAUGUAAUUUGCAGAAACAAACUUUUGCAAUAAUGCAAUUUACAAUAUGGAUGAGAGACAUUAAACUUAUCAGCAACUGCAAUCAUCACAGAAAGGUGAAGAUAUGAUUGCUUGUGUACAGUCAUUAGAAGCUGCAAUGCGUUCAUGCUUGCCUACGGGAGGCUGCAAGCGAUAGAUCGUUCUCCUCAUCCUUCUCAUCGAAGCCCUCUCCUCGGGCUUCUUCAAGAUGAUGUUGAUCCCAUGGUGUAUGUUAUGAAGGUGUAGAAGGCACCGCUGGAAACAUAUGCAGACAUUGGUGGACUAGAUGCUCAAAUUCAAGAACCUAAAGAGGCAGUUGAACUUCCACUACCUCAUCCUUGUGCUGGUAACCGGUGAGGCAAUUAGAGUUUGCUUUACUAAGUCAUAUCCUUUCACAUAUAUUUCCUAGGUCCACCAGGUAGAAGUUGAUAAUAAUUUGUUUUAGUACAACUACUCAGGGAAGAAAUUUUCAAAUACCUGCAAUGUAUUGACGAGUCAAUAAUUUUGGUGUUUUUCUGGACUAA